rnacentral:pre_miRNA from 1 species
GAAGUACUCCCUCUGUCUGGAAAAGCUUGUCCCAAACUUGUCCCUCAAAUGGAUGUAUCUAGCACCAAGUUAGUGCUAGAUACAUCCAUUUAAGGGACAAGCUUUUUCAGACGGAGGGAAUAUAUA